rnacentral:tRNA from 1 species
GCCGGGUUAGCUCAGUUGGUAGUAGCAAUCGAUUUGUAAUCGAUAGGUCAUCUGUUCGAUUCAGAUACCCGGCA